rnacentral:rRNA from 1 species
GAUGAACGCUGGCGGCGUGCCUAAUACAUGCAAGUCGAGCGGACAGACGGGGAUCUUUCUGCUCUGACGGUCGCGGCGGACAGGAAAGUAACGCGUAGAUAACCUACCUAUAAGGAUGAGAUAACUUCAGGAAACCUGAGCUAAUACCGGAAAAUAUAUUGAACGGCGUGGUUCAAUAGUUAAAGACGCUUUUGCUGGCGCUUAUAUAUCGAUCCGCGCCGCAUUAGCUAGUUGGUAAGGUAACGGGUGACCAAGACACCGAUGCGUAGCCGAGCGGAGAGGGUGAUCGGCCAGACGGGAAGCGAGACAGGGACCAGACUCCGACGGGAAGUCGCAGGAGGGAAUCUUGCGCGAUGGGCGCAGGCCUGACGGAGCAACGCAGGGUGAGUGAUGAAGUGCUGCGGGUCGCAAAACUCUGUGAAUAGGGAAGAACAAAGGUGGAAGUAACCAUGGACGUCACGAACGGACCUAGUCAGAAAGCGACGGCUAACUCCGUG